CCAUGUGAGGAGUGCCACUAGGUAAUCGGAAUUGAAUUCGGACGAUACCGGAAUCAUUUGCUGUUGGUGUACGUGGUUUUGGCUGUUCUUGGACUGGACUUGGUUGCGACGAUUGUUGCUGCUGGUACAGAAAAUAGGAUCAUCAGAAAAAAGUAAAUGAUUCGAAUUUACUAAUACAGAAUACAAGGUGCUCAGGAAAAUCAACAAACAACUGGUUCCACAUCACAAGAAGAGAUUACAAGCUCGAAUUUACCUCAGCUGUUAACUCUGGAAUCUCUGAAACACUACUGCUCUGAGAUGGAGUAUCCAAUUUUUUCAGGGGUUUUGUUUCAGGCGUAGGGACAGCUGGACUUGGUUUCGCAGUUACUGAAUCAGUUGUCUCACUAUCUUGGUGUUGUUUUGAAGUUGUAGGUAAUGGAGCCAUGCUAGCCUCUGA